ACCCUCAGAACAACGGCUGCGCGCGCUUAAGCAGCGAAAUCCAGUCCUGCCAGGAGCGUGGAGUCAAGGUGAUGCUCUCCAUCGGAGGUGGCGGGUCUUAUGGCCUGAGUUCCACCGAAGACGCCAAGGACGUGGCGUCAUACCUCUGGCACAGUUUCUUGGGUGGUUCUGCUGCUCGCUACUCUCGACCCCUCGGGGAUGCGGUUCUGGAUGGCAUAGACUUCAACAUCGCCGGAGGGAGCACAGAACACUACGAUGAACUUGCCGCUUUCCUCAAGGCCUACAACGAGCAGGAGGCCGGAACGAAGAAAGUUCACUUGAGUGCUGCUCCGCAGUGUCCUUUCCCGGAUUACUGGCUUGGCAACGCACUCAGAACAGAU
rnacentral:lncRNA from 1 species